UGCCCUUAUGAUUUGGGCUACACACGUGCUACAAUGGACAAUACAAAURGGCAGCGAAACCGCGAGGUCAAGCAAAUCCCAUAAAGUUGUUCUCAGUUCGGAUUGUAGUCUGCAACUCGACUACAUGAAGCUGGAAUCGCUAGUAAUCGUAGAUCAGCAUGCUACGGUGAAUACGUUCCCGGGUCUUGUACACACCGCCCGUCACACCACGAGAGUUUGUAACACCCGAAGCCGGUGGAGUAACCUUUUAGGAGCUAGCCGUCGAAGGUGGGACAAAUGAUUGGGGUGAAGUCGUAACAAGGUAGCCGUAUCGGAAGGUGCGGUUGGAUCACCU
rnacentral:rRNA from 1 species